AGUAGACGGUGUUACAAGUCAGAUGUGAAAACUCAGGGCUCAACCUUGAGACUGCAUCUGAAACUGUAAUACUAGAGUGCAGGAGAGGAAAGUGGAAUUCCUAGUGUAGCGGUGAAAUGCGUAGAUAUUAGGAGGAACACCAGUGGCGAAGGCGACUUUCUGGACUGUAACUGACGUUGAGGCGCGAAAGUGUGGGGAGCAAACAGGAUUAGAUACCCUGGUAGUCCACACCGUAAACGAUGGAUACUAGGUGUAGGCACGCAAGUGUCUGUGCCGUCGCAAACGCAAUAAGUAUCCCACCUGGGGAGUACGGCCGCAAGGUUGAAACUCAAAGAAAUUGACGGGGGCCCGCACAAGCAGUGGAGUAUGUGGUUUAAUUCGACGCAACGCGAAGAACCUUACCAAGACUUGACAUAUAUUCGAAUAUUUAAGAAAUUAGAUAGUUCUUCGGAACGGAUAUACAGGUGAUGCACGGUUGUCGUCAGCUCGUGUCGUGAGAUGUUGGGUUAAGUCCCGCAACGAGCGCAACCCUCGUGACUAGUUGCUGCCAAGCAGAACUCUAGUCAGACUGCCGUAGUUAAUACGGAGGAAGGUGAGGAUGACGUCAAAUCAUCAUGUCCCUUAUGUCUUGGGCUACACACGUACUACAAUGACUACUACAAAGAGAAGCAAUACCGCGAGGUGGAGCAAAACUGAUAAAAGUAGUCCUAGUUCGGAUUGGAGGCUGCAACUCGCCUCCAUGAAGCUGGAAUUGCUAGUAAUCACAGGUCAGCAUACUGUGGUGAAUACGUUCCCGGGCCUUGUACACACCGCCCGUCACACCAUGAGAGUUGAGAAUACCCGAAGCCCAUGUAACAGUGGUCGAAGGUAGGCUUGAUGAUUGGGGUGAAGUCGUAACAAGGUAACC
rnacentral:rRNA from 1 species